CUCAGUUCGGAUUGGAGUCUGCAACCCGACUCCAUGAAGCUGGAUUCGCUAGUAAUCGCGCAUCAGCCACGGCGCGGUGAAUACGUUCCCGGGCCUUGUACACACCGCCCGUCAAGCCAUGGGAGCCGGGGGUGCCUGAAGGCCGUGACCGCGAGGAGCGGCCUAGGGUAAAACUGGUGACUGGGGCUAAGUCGUAACAAGGUACC
rnacentral:rRNA from 1 species